rnacentral:misc_RNA from 1 species
UUUGAUGAUCCAACAAGCCACAGUCAAAAUGGGGAGCCGGCUUUAUGCUCAAGAACAGCUUAGGAUAGCAUUGACAUCAAAAAUUGCUGAAUCGCGAUGAAAUUAUGUCCCUAGUGAGCUAUGUAUAAUGUUAUCUUCUAAUGAGCGAGAAUUUUCUUCUCUGUAUAUAAAUGUGAUGAAACCAAUACUAGAGAUCUCGAGUUGAGGCUUUUUAGUUCAUGUAAGAUUAGAUAUAUAUAUAUGAUGCAGCUUCAUCCUUUUGUAUUCUUCAUCCAGGAAAUAAAUGAGAAACCAAUAAUUGGUGG